rnacentral:rRNA from 1 species
UACAGAGGGGGGCAAGCGUUGUUCGGAAUUACUGGGCGUAAAGGGCGCGUAGGCGCCUUCUAAGUCGAACGUGAAAUCCCCGGGCUCAACCCCGGGAACUGCGUCCGAUACUGGAAGGCUUGAAUCCGGGAGAGGGGAUGCGGAAUUCCAGGGUGUAGCGGUGAAAUGCGUAGAUAUCUGGAGGAACACCGGUGGCGAAGGCGGCAUCCUGGACCGGCAUUGACGCUGAGGCGCGAAAGCCAGGGGAGCAAAGCGGG